rnacentral:piRNA from 1 species
UGGAAGGUUGAACACACUUGCGCUUAUGCUG